rnacentral:tRNA from 2 species
AAAAUGAAAGUAGAUUACGUUCAGUUUCGGCCUGAAAAAAGGGCCACCCUCGUUUUA